GAUUAACGCUGGCGGUAUGCCUAACACAUGCAAGUCGAACGGAAUACUCGAAAAGAGAAUCUCACACUAGUGAGAGGUUCUCCAACCGAGUAUUUAGUGGCGGACGGGUGAGUAACACGUUGGAACCUGCCCCGAAGUGGGGAAGUAACUGCUCGAAAGAGUAGCUAAUACCCCACUAGUAUCCGGUUUAUCCGGAUUAAAGAUUUAUUCGCUUCGGGAGGGGCCUGCGUCUGAUUAGCUUGUUGGUGAGGUAAAAGACUCACCAAGGCGACGAUCAGUAGCUGGUUCGAGAGGAUGACCAGCCACACUGGGACUGAGAUACGGCCCAGACUCCUACGGGAGGCAGCAGUGAGGAAUCUUCCACAAUGGACGAAAGUCUGAUGGAGCAAUACCGCGUGCAGGACGACGCUUUUCGGAGUGUAAACUGCUUUUGUCGUCGAAGAUUAUGACUGUAGACGAAGAAUAAGGACCGGCUAACUACGUGCCAGCAGCCGCGGUAA
rnacentral:rRNA from 1 species